GAUCUCUUACCAUCUUCUUCUUCUAUUUAUUUUGUUUCAUCAAAAUUUGUAAUUCUCAUCUCUCACCAUCUUCUUUUUCUCGUUAUGCGAACAUUCAAAUACCAUGUAUGCGUAACUUCUUCUAAUGAAGUUUACGUCUAUGAUGGUUUAUAUAAAACUUCGAGCUUUGGUGGAUGAGUAACUGCCAGGGAAAGCAGAACUCAGGAGAAUCUACCAUCAGAUCUUCAACGAUUCCUUGUUCAUCAAGUUCAUAGGACGGGAUGAUGUCGACGGAGGGCUGGAUGACAGACAAAGGAACGGAUGAUGCUGAUGAAGGAUUCGAAAACUGGAUUGAAUUGGAACUAGUGAGAAAUUGUGUAAUAUUGUCUCCCAAGGAAAAAAAUUUUUUUUUUUGUAUUUGUAAUUCUUGGAGCUUGUUUCUAAUAAUGUAUUAAGAUGAAAUAAGAUUUUAGAACUA